GAUGAACGCUAGCGGCAGGCCUAAUACAUGCAAGUCGAGGGGCAACAGGUGUAGCAAUACAUGCUGGCGACCGGCGCACGGGUGCGUAACGCGUAUGCAAUCUACCUCUUACAGGGGCAUAGCCCGGAGAAAUCCGGAUUAAUACCCAUAAUAAACCAGGUAGCAUUACCAGGUUCUGAAAGUCACAACGGUAAGAGAUGAGCAUGCGUAUGAUUAGCUAGUUGGAGAGGUAACGGCUCCCCAAGGCAACG
rnacentral:rRNA from 1 species